CACCUUGACGGAACACUAAAGUCAUUGUUUAUUUACUUUGCGACAGAUCAAACGGAAAAUAGCCUUCAUACGAACAUGGUCAGCGAACACUGAAUGAGUCUCAGGUAAAGAACGGAGAGACUCAGUGAAAAAGAGUAACAAACGAGCGGAUUAAGCAUGCGGUUCGCCCAGUCAUAAAGAAGCGGCAAUGUACAGAGACGUCGUCAGAUACUCCACCAAAACUACUGCUGUAUUAGAAGCACUUUGGCUUGCGUUGGAUUUUACUUGCAUUGGACCGCUUUCGCCAUCAUGUCGUAUUUUUAAAGCUUAAGGAUCAGCAUUUUACGUUUCGUAUCGUGUGGUCCUAGCGGUACCCCAGCCGACUGAUUUGAACCUAUUUCGACGUGUUUCCUUACACUGCUUGAAAAACAAGGGCAGCCUAUUUGACGUGAGGUAUUGAUUACAGUCACACAAACAAAUGUUCACUGGUUGAUGCCUUUGUUCUCGAUCUAGCUGCCAAAAUCUGUAUUAAUUCGGCUGUUGGUUGUACAUGGGCUUUUUGUCUGAGUUGUGCUGCCUGUCGAUCUGUGCUACGGGUCAAUAUGUUUGUAUUAUUAUUUGCGGGAGCAAUGUUUAAACUUUGUUAAUGGCUAGAACUAAACGUUGCUUAAGAAUAAGCAUGUUGUGUUUUUAAUAUAAUUAUAAUUACUAAUAAACAAAUCUAUUUGUGUAACAAACCGCGAAGUGAAGGAACUAUACAAACAUGAGCAUAUAUCGCCUUACUUCUCUGUCAACGAAAACGCGAGUCUGGGCCGACAUGACACAUAUAUUGAAGGGCAAAUCUCGAAUGUGACUACAGAAGGUCGACAAAAUAGGUUCCUGACAAUUUAUAGCAACGAAAUAGAUGCCACGACGAGAACAGCCUACGUCUACAGGAACGAAGCUAGCUGGCUAGCUCACUGCUAGCUUUGGCACGUGCAAGAAUACCAAAAAUCAAACGAUUCAGGUGAAAUCCCAUAUGCAGCUACAUGGUACCGAAUCAACGAAGACACAGUCUUUCUUGUGGUACUAAAAUGUACCACAGAACAUCUGAGUGAACCAACACCCUUGCGCGGGAAUUAUUAAAUGGAAUAGAUUACAUUGCCAUUGGGAAAACAAAGUAUAUUUCAAAUUUGGCUAUGUGAUAUUUGAGAUAUUGGCGACAGCUGGUUGCCGCGUUAACUCUGACGAGGUUCGGCAAUGAAAUUGCGAUACGUCCUCUUUUUUUUUUUGUUGAAAAGUGUAGCAUAUUGGGAAAACUGCGAGAUAUGUAGCAUCAAUUGGAAAAAUAACUACAAAAGAUGAAAAGACCAUAUUUUGUGUACAUGAAUUCAAAUUUAGUGUUCCUUCUUAUUAUUGUUGUGCUCUGUGCAUAUCGGAGGCUUAAAUAACUAUUUCUGGAAGACAUGGACAUUUUUCCAUUCUCGGUUUGAUUUUUGAGCCACUAUUUAUGCCCUCCAUUGAAUGCACUCACCGCCGAUGGCUAUACAUUCGUUUGGUGCAUUCUAUAACGCAUUAAAUCUUUUCAACUGCAAUGCAAUACGCCUAAGCUUCUUGCGAAACUGCUAAGGCGCACUAACCUGUUAAUGGCUGCUCACUGAUCCAGACGCACAUAUAGAACCCAAGAUUAUUGUAAACAAAAAAGUGCUCAUUGAAAUUUCAUUUUCCAGAAGCGAAACUCAAAAGGGAGAAAAGGUAUUCGAAACAACGCAAGACCUCGAGUCAGUUUAACACAGAUAAUCCACCGAGCACAGAUACGCUCAUCAUUCAUAAAUAUGUUUAAUUCAGCGUUGGUUAACAACUCAACUGUGAAAGAAUUGGCCCGCUCAGGCGCGGCACCAUCCAAGUCAGGCCCUGGUGCUUCGAAAACCGAUGAUGUUGCUAUCGUGAAUGACGUUCGUAAUAUAGUAACGACGACGAAACCACACAAGGCAGGAGCAUGGAGACCAACGUGCACGGAGACGAUGUGCGUUUACACGAUGUCGACGGGCAGGAUGAUGGAAGGAUCCGUAUACACACCAAGCAGGAGCUGUUUGAAAGCAUGAAAAUGCACGGAGAGACAUGUACAACAAUCGCUUGAAACAGGUCAUGCUAAGAACAAACUAUUAACGGAACGACCAGACUUUGUACUAUGAUGGGGCAAAAGAAAUUAAUGCCACUGAAUCCGAACUAUUAGUGGUUUUAGAUCUACCGAUCUGUACGCUAAGGUUGACUCAUGCACAUCGAAAUGACAAGUAUUGCGUUGAGAUUUGGAAGAGCUCAAUGAACAAGCAAACUAUUCCAGUUAAUACGCUAAUUAUAGCUAGGCUGUUGGAAAAUUAAUUUCUCAUGCUAGGAUAGAAUCAUAAAAGUGCAGCCGA